rnacentral:pre_miRNA from 1 species
UCUAUUUUAAACUAUGGAUUUUUUUAUGUACAAGACUGUCCGUCUUAUUUAGAAUUUUUAUGAUAUUUUUAUUGUUAUUAGAUAAUAAAACAUGGAUAGUAAUUUAUAUGUGACUUAUUUUUUAAUUUUUUUUAUAGUUUUUAAAUAAGACAAACAAACAUUGGACACGAAAACCCACAACUGCACUUUAA